AUGAACGCUAGCUACAGGCUUAACACAUGCAAGUCGAGGGGAAACGACAUCGAAAGCUUGCUUUUGAUGGGCGUCGACCGGCGCACGGGUGAGUAACGCGUAUCCAACCUGCCCAUCACUUGGGGAUAACCUUGCGAAAGUAAGACUAAUACCCAAUGAUAUCUCUAGAAGACAUCUGAAAGAGAUUAAAGAUUUAUCGGUGAUGGAUGGGGAUGCGUCUGAUUAGCUUGUUGGCGGGGUAACGGCCCACCAAGGCAACGAUCAGUAGGGGUUCUGAGAGGAGGGUCCCCCACAUUGGAGCUGAGACACGGACCAAACUCCUACGGGAGGCAGCAGUGAGUAAUGUUGGUCAAUGGGCGAGAGCCUGAACCAGCCAAGUAGCGUGCAGGAGGACGGCCCUAUGGGUUGUAAACUGCUUUUAUAAGGGAAUAAAGUGAGAGUCGUGACUCUUUUUGUAUGUACCUAAUGAAUAAGGACCGGCUAAUUACGUG
rnacentral:rRNA from 1 species